rnacentral:rRNA from 1 species
GUGGGGAAUUUUGGACAAUGGGCGCAAGCCUGAUCCAGCCAUUCCGCGUGCAGGAUGAAGGCCUUCGGGUUGUAAACUGCUUUUGUACGGAACGAAACGGUCCGGGUUAAUACCCUGGGCUAAUGACGGUACCGUAAGAAUAAGCACCGGCUAACUACGUGCCAGCAGCCGCGGUAAUACGUAGGGUGCAAGCGUUAAUCGGAAUUACUGGGCGUAAAGCGUGCGCAGGCGGUUUUGUAAGACAGGCGUGAAAUCCCCGGGCUCAACCUGGGAAUUGCGCUUGUGACUGCAAGGCUGGAGUGCGACAGAGGGGGAUGGAAUUCCGCGUGUAGCAGUGAAAUGCGUAGAUAUGCGGAGGAACACCGAUGGCGAAGGCAAUCCCCUGGGCCUGCACUGACGCUCAUGCACGAAAGCGUGGGGAGCAAACAGGAUUAGAUACCCUGGUAGUCC